rnacentral:rRNA from 1 species
GAUGAACGCUAGCUACAGGCCUAACACAUGCAAGUCGAGCGAACGGCGCACGGGUGAGUAACACGUAUACAACAUUCCCUUUCCCCUGGGAUAGACUUUAGAAAUAAAGAUUAAUACUCGAUGUAACGGAUGGGGUUGAGUUCCAUCAGGUUGUUGGAAAGGUAACGGGUAACCAAGCCUUCGAUGGAUAGGCGUUCUGAGAGGCAGGUCCCCUGGAUUGGAACCGAGACACAGUCCAAACUCCUACGGGAGGCAGCAGAGAGGAAUAUUAGUCAAUGGGCGUUAGCCUGAACCAGCCAAGUAGCGUGAAGGAUGAAGGGUUAUUGGUCGUAAACUUCUUUUAAAUAAGAAUAGGUAUUAAAUGAAUAAGGAUCGGCUAACUCCGUGCCAGCAGCCGCGGUAAUUC